AUUGAACGCUGGCGGCAUGCCUUACACAUGCAAGUCGAACGGUAACAGGUCUUCGGAUGCUGACGAGUGGCGAACGGGUGAGUAAUACAUCGGAACGUGCCCGAUCGUGGGGGAUAACGAAGCGAAAGCUUUGCUAAUACCGCAUACGAUCUACGGAUGAAAGCGGGGGAUCUUCGGACCUCGCGCGGACGGAGCGGCCGAUGGCAGAUGAGGUAGUUGGUGGGAUAAAAGCUUACCAAGCCGACGAUCUGUAGCUGGUCUGAGAGGAUGAUCAGCCACACUGGGACUGAGACACGGCCCAGACUCCUACGGGAGGCAGCAGUGGGGAAUUGUGGACAAUGGGCGCAAGCCUGAUCCAGCCAUGCCGCGUGCAGGAUGAAGGCCUUCGGGUUGUAAACUGCUUUUGUACGGAACGAAAAGGUGCCUUCUAAUAAAGGGCGCUCAUGACGGUACCGGAAGAAUAAGCACCGGCUAACUACGUG
rnacentral:rRNA from 1 species